AAGGAGUCUACCAUGUGUGCGAGUUUUUGGGUGGCAAACCCCUGAGCGUAAUGAAAGUGAAUGCAGGUGGGAUCCGCAAGGAACACCAUAGACCGGCCCUGAUGUUCUCGGAUGGGUCUGCGUAAGAGCAUAUAUGUUGGGACCCGAAAGAUGGUGAACUAUGCCUGAAUAGGGCGAAGCCAGAGGAAACUCUGGUGGAGGCUCGCAGCGGUUCUGACGUGCAAAUCGAUCGUCAAAUUUGGGUAUAGGGGCGAAAGACUAAUCGAACCAUCUAGUAGCUGGUUCCUGC
rnacentral:misc_RNA from 1 species